GUGAACGCUGGCGGUAGGCCUAACACAUGCAAGUCGAACGGCAGCACAGUAAGAGCUUGCUCUUACGGGUGGCGAGUGGCGGACGGGUGAGGAAUACAUCGGAAUCUACUUUUUCGUGGGGGAUAACGUAGGGAAACUUACGCUAAUACCGCAUACGACCUACGGGUGAAAGCAGGGGAUCUUCGGACCUUGCGCGAUUGAAUGAGCCGAUGCCGGAUUAGCUAGUUGGCGGGGUAAAGGCCCACCAAGGCGACGAUCCGUAGCUGGUCUGAGAGGAUGAUCAGCCACACUGGAACUGAGACACGGUCCAGACUCCUACGGGAGGCAGCAGUGGGGAAUAUUGGACAAAGGGCGCAAGCCUGAUCCAGCCAUACCGCGUGGGUGAAGAAGGCCUUCGGGUUGUAAAGCCCUUUUGUUGGGAAAGAAAAGCAGCAGGUUAAUACCCCGCUGUUCUGACGGUACCCAAAGAAUAAGCACCGGCUAACUUCGUG
rnacentral:rRNA from 1 species